UCAAAAUAUCAAACCGCCAUGGCUGCUGCUACCCUCUCGCAAUGCAGUUUCUCUCCCGCCAUAACUUGUCUGAAAUCAAAUCCCAAACUCAAACCCAUUAAUUCACUUCUCUGCCCUGACAUUUUACAAACCCAUUUGUUUCUCCAACACAAAUGCCAGGUUGAGAAUUUCUCAAACAAAAGCAGCAUUACCUAAACUGUCGCAUUGGUUAGUUGUGGUUUCUGGGUUAGUGGAUGGCAAUUCUGAGACAUACCCAGAAGCAGGAUCAAGUGAUUUGAAUGAGGAGGGUGCAGCCAUUGACAUAAAACUGCCAUGGAGGAGUUUGCUUGUGCAAUUUACUUGUAAUGAAUGUGGCGAGAGGUCUCAGAGGCCCAUUAAUCGUUUAGCCUAUGAACAGGGGCUUGUUUUUGUGCAGGUACUCAUUUGUUCUAAUGGGCUGUUAGAAUGACAAUUUUUUGCUAUAUGUUUCUUACCAGUAAGCAUUUAUCCUGUUAUAUUAAAGGCCAGCAAUGCACUGUCCUUUUGACUUAAAAAGGAAAAGGAAAAGGAAAAAAGAGUAUUCAGAAUUGAUUUUUCUUGGGAAAGUAUAGUCUAAAACUUCCAAUAACAAGCCUUUAAUGUUUUAUGUUCAAACUGAAUGCUCCCUAAAGAAAUGAUACGAGUUAAUAUAGAAAUAUAGAGGACUUCAAAAGUAAUAUGAAGUACUAGAAGAAAAUAAAAGCCCAUCACUUUUCCACAAGGAAAUGUUGUCAAUGUUAUUAAUGGUCAACAUGUUUUCAAAAUUUUCUUAAUAAAAAUUAACUUAAAUAUCCAUAAGAUGUUUCUCAAUAACUGUUGGAAUAAUUGGAGCAUAUGUGCUUGCCAGGCAACUUAUUAAGUAUUUUGCAUGGGGUUGUUUCCCAAAUAACUAUAUUUAUUUGUUCAUGGGAUUGAACAUGGUUGAUUCACAAGUUCCUUUCUGCCUAGGGAAUUUUUCAGGAGUGCUAUUUUCUUCUUACUCGCUUUUGGGGAAGUUUGAAGAACCUUAAUUUGCCCUAGAACAUGAUAGAUACUCUUCAGGGAAGAACAGUUUCUGAUGCAAAACUGUGCAACUGAAAUUGAUUGCUUUUGUGUUUUUAUGUUGAAGAGUUACAACAGUUUUGUCUAUGGAAAUUUUUGUAUGCUCCUCGUAUUGUUACUGUUUUCAUGUUUUUAGAACUAUGAAGUAAAUUUCUAUUAUGUUUUCUUCUCUUGGAUAGUUUUGUUCAUGGUUAUAAGGCCAUUCAUCUUUAUUGUGUACUCCAAUGAACUUAAAAAAUCCAAAAAUGUUGACAAUUUCUUGGCUUGCCUUUAUAAUACCUGUAAUCUGAAUUUCACACCGAUCUUGUUUGUACAUAUAAAGUAAUCUCUUUUCAUCAUAAAUAUAAUUUCAUGGCUUGGUAACAUUUCUAGAAACUGUAGCCUGUAACUACCAGCAAAUAGGCAAUAGCUAAAACAGUCCUUGCUAACAUUCCAGCCCUUCCUUCAUGGUGAUACAAUGAAUUUCCUCCAUUCUGCAGGUCAGAAAAGGCAGGGUACAUAAUUUAGAACAAUUUGAGACAAAUUUCUAUCAUUUCUGGAAUGGAAAUAUUAGCGAAUUCAGUUAGUGGUUUAGAAUGAAAAAAAAAAUUUAAUUGUUUGAAAACAUACUGGAUUUGGGGAUGGUGCAGGAGCUGUGUCCUCAGAUACUGUUGUCACUGUAGGUGGGGCUGGGGGGCUGGGGGGAUUUGGUGCUU